GACGAACGCUGGCGGCGUGCUUAACACAUGCAAGUCGAACGGUAAGGCCCUUCGGGGUACACGAGUGGCGAACGGGUGAGUAACACGUGAGUGAUCUGCCCUGCACUUCGGGAUAAGCCUGGGAAACUGGGUCUAAUACCGGAUAGGACCACUGCCUGCAUGGGUGGUGGUGGAAAGCUUUUGCGGUGUGGGAUGGGCCCGCGGCCUAGCAGCUUGGUGGGGGGGUGACGGCCGACCAAGGCGACGACGGGUAGCCGGGCUGAGAGGGUGACCGGCCACAAUGGGACUGAGCUACGGCCCAGACGCCUACGGGAGGCAGCAGUGGGGAAUAUUGCACAAUGGGCGCAAGCCUGAUGCAGCGACGCCGCGUGAGGGAUGACGGCCUUCGGGUUGUAAACCUCUUUCAGCACCGACGAAGCGCGAGUGACGGUAGGUGCAGAAGAAGGACCGGCCAACUACGUGCCAGCAGCCGCAGUAA
rnacentral:rRNA from 1 species